rnacentral:rRNA from 1 species
AAUACGGGAGAGGAAAGUGGAAUUCCGAGUGUAGGGGUGAAAUCCGUAGAUAUUCGGAGGAACACCAGUGGCGAAGGCGGCUUUCUGGACCGAUACUGACGCUGAUACGCGAAAGCGUGGGGAGCAAACAGGAUUAGAUACCCUGGUAGUCCACGCC